rnacentral:rRNA from 1 species
CCUACGGGAGGCAGCAGUGGGGAAUAUUGCACAAUGGGGGAAACCCUGAUGCAGCCAUGCCGCGUGCAGGAAGACGGUCCUAUGGAUUGUAAACUGCUUUUAUACAGGAAGAAACCUCCCUACGUGUAGGGACUUGACGGUACUGUAGGAAUAAGGAUCGGCUAACUCCGUGCCAGCAGCCGCGGUAAU